rnacentral:lncRNA from 1 species
ACAGAGAGUCAGUUAGGAAAAGUCCCACGUUGGUGGGCCAGUGAGCUAGAGUUUUAGUAAUCCUUAUAAAAGUACAGGGAGACAUGGGGCAGCCCCAGUGGCGUAGUGGUGGGGUUCGUGCACUUUGGCGGCCCAGGGUUCACAGUUUUGGAUCCUGAGUGUGGACCUAGCACUGCUCGUCAAGCCAUGCUGUGGUGGCAUCCCACACAAAAUAGACGAAAAUUGGCACUGAUGUUGGCUCAGCAACAAUCUUCCUCAAGUGAAAAGAGGAAGAUUGGCAACAGAUGUUAGCUCAGGGCCAAUCUUCCUCACAAAAUAACAAAAGAAAGAAAGAAAAAGAAAAAGAGAAGUACAGGGAGACAAAUAACUAUGUACCAUGAGGAGUUGCCUGGUUUAGGACUGUUAUGGAGCAGAGGGAAGAGAGUUAAAGAACUCUGAUGCUUUCAUGUUUUCCCCUGAGUUUUGAUGUCUGACCUGCCUUGUUCCAAUUCCGAGGUCGGCCCGCCGGGUGGUACUACAACAAGUACUAAUUAGAAAAGCCCUUUCCACCUUCUCCGCCAUCUUUCCCGCAUCCUGGAGCAGUUCUUCACAGAACUGCAGCAGGGCUCCCAGCCAGGAGGAAAUUGAGGACAUUUUCCUUAGAAUUACGUGCUGUUCACGUUUUUCUAGUUCCUACCCUGGGAAGGAUGGUUCGGUUAGCUUUAUGAGGGGUUUUUCAAAUUCAGCUAUUAUUUCUGCAGCAGCCACUGACUGAUGUCUGUCAAGGGCUGAACAGGCUGCCGUCUGACCUCACCACUCCCCACGUUCUGCAUGAGGAAGCCUUGCCACGCUGAAAUGCCCCACACCGUGCCCUGAAUCAAACCCGUCCCUCUCGGCAAGCGAUGCUUAAUAACAAUUAGAAGCAGAAGGAAAGAAGGUUUUCAGCUGAGAAGUUCUACUGGCAGUAAAAUGGAGAACAGAGAAGGAGCUCUUAAAAAAUUUUGAGAUAAUUGCCUGAGUAAAUAUGAAAAGCAACAUUUAAUAUUUAUCUAACUUUCUCUGCAGGCUGAGAAGGCAAGACAGGUCUUCCGAGCACAAUAUACAAUAAAAGUAAAGCAGGAUAAAAGAAGGAUCCAGCUGACCGAGGCAAUGUUGCUUUUCCAUGUCUAAGAAUACGGAACUGGGGAUUUUCAGUCAAGUUAUGGAUUGUUAGGGUCCUAGAGAACAGAGAAUAGAAAGAGAGAAUAUGGCAUGCAGAUAGCUCAGCGAUAUCCAUCCGGGCUGAUGCAGAUUUUCAUUUGGGAGAAGUAGUUUUAUUGACUAAGUGUUUCAGCGCCCUUUCCAAUGUUUUCCCAGGAGCAAGCAGGAUGAGUUGGCUUAUAUUAUAGCCCAUGAGGCGGAGCACAGCCGCUCAAAUGAUGGUGAGCCAUAAACAGAGGCCACAGCUGUUCUCCAGGCUAACUGAAGGAUUGCCUCAUCAGAGAAAGUAUCACAUAACUUUGUA